rnacentral:rRNA from 1 species
AAUCAACGCUGGCGGCGUGCCUCAGACAUGCAAGUCGAACGCGAAAGUUCCCUUCGGGGGACAAGUAGAGUGGCGCACGGGUGAGUAACACGUAGGUAAUCUACCUUUGGAUGGGGAAUAACCACCGGAAACAGUGGCUAAUACCGCAUAAUGCAGCGGCACCUAAUGGUGACAGUUGUUAAAGCGGGGGAUCGAAAGACCUCGCGUCUAAAGAGGAGCCUGCGGCGGAUUAGCUAGUUGGAAGGUAAUGGCUUACCAAGGCUACGAUCCGUAACCGGCCUGAGAGGGCGGUCGGUCACACUGACACUGACAUACGGGUCAGACUCCUACGGGAGGCAGCAGUCGGGAAUUUUGGGCAAUGGGCGAAAGCCUGACCCAGCAACGCCGCGUGAAGGAUGAAAUCCCUCGGGAUGUAAACUUCGCAAGAACGGGAAGAAUAAGCGAGAGUUAAUAUCUUUCGUGAUGACGGUACCGUUUGUAAGCUCCGGCU